CGUGACAUCCUCAGUGUGACGUACGCGGCGCGACAUGUCUCUCGUUGGCCUUGUGUUGCAAAUGAGCUCGUCGGCCACACGUCAAUAGAGGCACUUAGAGGUCUAGUCACAAGGCAGCGCAAUCACGCUUUCGUCCUUUCUGAUCACGUAAUGAAGUGAUUCUUCGGAGGUCCGCGAGACGCACAUGUGCGGAAACGUAUUCCGAGCGAGCUGCCGAUGUAGAUAUCCUGUCCGUUGUGUUCCUUUUCAGUCGCCCCUUGUGGGGCAGCCAAACCGCUGUUCUGCAAUUCAGUUGAGACUGCCAUUUUUACGUUCUAAGAAAGCUGUCGUUAGUCAACUUUAUAAUACCUACUACAAUAAUAAAUAUGUUAAAUGCAGUAUUCAGAGGGUGUAAUGUAUACCUUUUCCAGCAUAACUUUAAAGACUGAUAGCUUCGGAUCCUAAUUACAUGACUCUGUCACAGUCUAUUUUGUUAGACUCUGACACUGUAAACAUUACUACAUGCUUCACCACAAGAAAUGUAUAGCUAAGUUCAGAAAUGUGUUCAAUGUUUGAAUGAGAAUAAAUCUUCGCUAAAGCCGUCACAGAUCGGUUCAUUAAGUGCAGCAUACUACAAGGCACACACUAGCGCUGUAAUCAGAGACGCUGGUGCAAUAAUUGCGUAAGUCACCGAGAACGCUGUGAAAUUGUGAAUCAUAGCCGACGCACACGAUAAGAUUGGAAGUGGUCGGUGUGCGAUAUCUAGUUCCCGAUCUAUAAAGAAAAGAAGAUCAAGGUUUAACGUCCCAUCCACACCGACGUCAUAUGGGAUUGAUCUCUGUUGCGGACUUUGCGGAAGAUUCCAACUUGACUGCGUGCACCCCUAGUGGCAACAUUGGGACGAGGCAUUUUCUCAGGCCACGACUGAAAGUUGGUGUUCAAUACAUCCACAAUUUGACGGUCCACCUGCGGCAGAUGUUUGCCUAUUAAUUGUGAGGGUAUGGGCAUGACCUCCUCCUACUGCUAGAUGACACAACAAUGGAAGAACUAGUACUGCAGCAUCGACCUCCAGGUUGGACAGACACACCUUCGAAUGAAGUUGAAGUGGAAUGUAUUCCAGCACAUAUGCCACACGACUUGCAGGUCACAUCAGUUGUGAAGGUUCAGAACCCAUAUUUGUGGUGCUGUUAUCAGCUGAAAAAGGCAGAAUAUAUUAACAGAUAUGGCAGUGCUGAGGAAAUGACUCUGUAUCAUGCUACAAGCAAAAGUAAUAAGGACUCUAUAAUUACGAAUAACUUGAAUUGGCGAUGUUCAGAGCGAGUCAGGUAUGGUCAAGGCAUUAGUUUCAGUCCAUCAACCACCUACGCCAAUUUCUAUUCUAAGUACAAUUUUGGUUCUAACUGGAACAAUGAGACUGACAUGGCAAUGAUUGUCGCAACUGUACUAGUUAAUACUACUGCAGAAGGUAAUAACACAGUUAAAGUGCCUCCCACUGGUUUUGAUACAACUAUUGGAGAUCAUAAUCAAGUAUAUGUUAAGCACAGUGACAAUGAAUUUUACCCAAAAUAUAUCAUUUACUACAACAUCUAUGUAGAUGACAACUUUUAAGAUAGCCAAUUAGUAAUUUUCAGGCAGGAGGGGAGGGGGGGGGGAUGAUACAUGGGCAGUGGGGGCAGCAGGAUAUUUUAAUGCUGUAUCAGAUAUUACUUUAAAAAAAAAACACACACACACACACACACACACACACAGCUGAAACAAAUGCAAUAUAUUCAGAGACUGAUAUAUACAGAGCCUGUUUAUUACUAGAGUUUGACAUAGUCUCAGAUCUGCACAUCUCUGAAGUAGAACUUGAAGAAUCAGUUUUUGAAUAGAAUAUUCUAGUUACCCCCUUAACAGCUAGUGGAUCCUGUUUGUUGAAAGUAAACUAGUGACAUGCUUUUUGUUUGAAAUCAUAUGCAUCUUCUACACUAACAGAGAGCUUCACAAUUCUGUGUUCAUAUUAGCACAAAAUUCUGUGUUGUCUUUAUUCACCAAACUAAAACCUUUUUACUCUGGGGAGUUACUAUGAGGUUCCAGAAGAACACCCAUCAUUAGCUUACUGAGUGAAGGGUACUUUCAUAUUCCUGAAGCAUGAGUGAGUUUUGAAAUCUCAUACCAAAUUCUUUCAGACCUCUCAUCCUUUCCAAAAUGGAAUGCAUCAAAUUGGUAACAACUGAACUCUGUUCCCAAAGAUUCUUUUUUUUCUGACAAUAGCAUUUUAGAAAAUUGGUCAAUCAUAUAAUCCAUAGGUGAAAAACUCUUGAAUUUUUGCUAGGAAACCUCAGUAACUUCAGCAUGCUGAAGAAACUUGUUUUUAACUGGCCAUUUGUUGACAAUAUACUCACACUUUUUGUGUAGAACAAUCUGACGUUGGAAAAUAUUUCAGUGUAGUUUUGUCACAGAAAAAAUUUGUUGUUAAUAAUCCAGCCCAGUUCAAAAGUAAUAGCAGUGUGCAUAGCUAUAACACCAGGAGAAAGGAUGAUCUUCACUAUGCAGGGUUAAAUCUGACUUUGGCACAGAAGGGGGUAAAUUAUGCUGCCACAAAAGUCUUUGGUCACCUACCAAACAGCAUCAAAAGCCUGACAGAUAGUCCACCAACAUUUAAAAAUAAAUUAAAAGAAUUUCUAGAUGACAACUCCUCCUACUCAUUGGCUGAAUUUUUAGAUAUAAAUUAAGGGAGGAGGAAAAACUAACUUAAGCAUUAGUGUCAUGCAAUAUUUUGUGUAAUGUAAUAUCUUGUACAGACAUCUUUCAUUAACCUGACACGUUCCACAUCAUUACGAAGUGUCAAAUUCAUGAUCUAUGGAACAAGUAUUAAUCUAAUCUAAUCUUCAUUUAUGUAAGCCUUUGCAUUUGCCCAUUGAGCAACUCUGUCAUUUUUCUGUAUCUUAACAGGCCAAAAUUUUAAAUGAAGCAAAUUGCUAUUGAACUCCAGAAGUCAGGAUGCUGCUACACAGCAACCAAUAAGACCACUGAAAAGAUUAUUUCUUAUUAGAGGAAUACAUUUAAGGAAUUGUGAAGUGGAAGAAUAGAGCUGAGAAACAGAAGGUAAAGCUUUGUAGAUGCAUUUUCAAACCGUGCCUCAACUUAAUGUGAUUCACAGAAGAACAUUUUUAAAGGGUUCCACUGCUUUAAGGUCUUUCAUACACACUGUAGCAGAGACAACAACCUAGUAUAAAUAUACUUAAAUAUUUUGUGUGGCUUUUCAGUCAAGAUUUGCUUACAUGUCUUCAGAGCAUUUUGUCUCUUGAAGCUCCUUAGCAAAAAAUAAGAAAUGUCACAAAGCUUACAAUAGACUGCCCGUGCACAGAUGUUGGCCUAUGUGAGUAUGAUUAAAGACCAAAUGUGUUAUUACUUUCGACAAUAAAAACUGACUUUCGAUAAUAAAAA